ACAGCGUGACUGGUCUCCGUGUCUUCUUCCUCUUUCAUUUAUCGUGUUAGGGUUUUCAGAUAUCAGGAUCGUUCUCCUUCCGUCAAAUUCACUGUAUUAGCUUUUUCAGAGUUCAGAAUUGUUAUCGUCCUUCGUAUAACUGCGUUUUUAAACCGACAUUUGUCCGUACCCAAGAUUCUUACGAAGAUCGAAAUUCUUCCGCGUUUUCGCUUCGGCUACGGUUAAACGCGGACAAUUACGUAUGGCUUCUUCCUCAAUAAUCACUCCUGAAGAUGUGUUGGAGUCGCUGAUGAACGACGGCUCAAUUGAUGCACUCAGAUUGAAGAUCAUCAACCAGCUCAAAGCCAAUGAGGAAUUGAAGAGUACUACUAUAAAGAUGGCUGAGCAGAGUAAGGUUCUUAACACCCCCGGUGCUGAAAAACAAACUAAAAGAGAGCUCUUUGAUGCUCUUCGGCAAGAACUUGAAGCUUCUGUACUUGAAAAAGCCUCAAAAUCAGUUUGGGAUUUAAUUGUAGACAAUAAUGGCCUGGGAAAAGAGAUAAGUGAAACUGUUGAGCGAGUGUUUUGUCGAUUGAGUGGCCAGGAGCCUCCAUUGUUUCCGCUUCCUAAUGGAGAACCGCAAUCUGAAAAGGAGGCUGGCAACAGAAAAGAAAAAGGCAAGGGAAAGCAGAAGGAAAAUGAAAGCACAAAUACAAAUACUCCAUCAAAGAAAAGAAGCUUCAGUGAAAUAAAUUUGGAAGGACCAGACGAAACUUCAACCAGGUUCUCUGAUCCCACGGCAGUAUUGGAAGGUUCUGGCAAAUCACCUGCAUCAAUUUCGAAGACUUGAGUUGCAAAUUCGACAUUCCUUUUGUAACUGAAGUGAUCAAAUCUGGGAGUCUAAUCAUUGGCUUAUUUAUCAAGAAAGCAUUCUUUGUGCUUUUGGAGCGCGGGAUUCCUACAACUACAAGCUCCGCACUUGCUUUAGCAAGAUACUCGCGUGACAAUUAUUACUAUGGUACAGAUGCAAAUAUUUUGGAAUACCCCUAGGGGUUCUUUAGCAACAAAGGAAUUGUUCGUUUUUGAGUCUUUACAAAUGAACGAAGAAAUUUUGUAUUUGAAGCAUGAUUUGCGGGUGAGUGAUACAACCGUCAAGGGAGAAUGUUUUUGUGAAAAGUAAGAGAAGCAGGAAUGUUUCACUUAGCUGGAUGACAUAAGACUUGCGGGAUGAAUUUAUGAAAAUUGUGCAGGGUCCUGUUGGCUAAGUAAGCGAAAGGGAUUUGCAAAUAAGAUGUAAUGUAAUUAAUGAGAUGAACAUAUUUAGAUAUAAGAAAGAGAGAUGUAAUGUAUGAAAUUAAUGAGAUGAACAUAUUUAGAUAUAAAUUUGAUGAAGAAUAUUGUAUAUGUUAUUGAUUUUGAUGUAAGUGGAAUGACAUUCGAGGAAGUAAACAUUUCAUUUUAGUGUUAA